rnacentral:rRNA from 1 species
CCUACGGGAGGCAGCAGUGGGGAAUAUUGCACAAUGGGGGAAACCCUGAUGCAGCGACGCCGCGUGAGUGAAGAAGUAUUUCGGUAUGUAAAGCUCCAUCUGUAGGGAAGUAAAUGACGGUACCUGAUUAAGAAGCCCCGGCUAACUACGUGCCGGCAGCCGUGGUAAUACGUCGGGGGCAAGCGUUAUCCGGAUUUACUGGGUGUAAAGGGAGCGUAGACGGCAGCACAAGCCUGGAGUGAAAUGCCGGGGCUUAACCCCGGAACUGCUUGGGAAACUGUGCAGCUAGAGUGCAGGCGAGGUAAGUGGAAUUCGUAGUGUAGCGGUGAAAUGCGUAGAUAUGAGGAGGAACACCAAUGGCGAAGGCGGCUUACUGGACUGUAACUGACGUUGAGGCUCGAAAGCGUGGGGAGCAAACAGGAUUAGAUACCCCGGUAGUC